GGAGGGCAAGUCUGGUGCCAGCAGCCGCGGUAAUUCCAGCUCCAAUAGCGUAUAUUAAAAUUGCUGCAGUUAAAAAGCUCGUAGUUGGAUUUCUGGUGUGGUGCGCCGAGCCCGCCGUCGUUUAGGCGGUGAGUGCUUGUCGCGCGCCUACCAUCCUUCCGGAGAGUGCAGCCUACCCUUAACUGGGCCGGGUUGUACGAUCUGGAUCGUUUACUUUGAAAAAAUUAGAGUGUUUAAAGCAGGC
rnacentral:rRNA from 1 species